GAUCACGUAUCAGUAGGGCAAACUAUAGGAUGGCUUUCCGAGACCAAAACCAGAUACUCGCGUCUCACGGGCGGAUUCAGCAGCUUUAGGCUCGGUUGGGCAAAUCAACGAGCUUCGUGCCUGAUUGCUCCCCGUUUUUCUGUCUGCUCCCUAAAGCGACUAUUGAUUGUAAAUUAAGACAUAGGAUAGGAGUACUCCUAUUUUGACCUGCCUAUUUUUUCCGUUGAGUGCACGCGAGACGCGGCAACAGUUGAGUGCACGCGGUGCCAACCUUUUUCUUGGAAACAUCGCGUGAUCGUCCUUCUCGAUCGGGUACAACAAGCAAAUCCGUCCGAUGUACCGAGGUCAUCGUCUCGUCUCCUUCGUCGAUGCUGCUCAACCUCUGGCGGCGGCCAACUUUGCCGGUACCCACGGCGAUGGGCCGGGGAGGAAGCCAAAGGCCGACGGAGGGCCUGCUGCCUCCUCUAGUCUUGGAGGAGAAUGUGGUUGUAGCUAGCCUUGUAGGCUCGCAGCUUGAGCGGUUCAGCAGUUCAGCUUGGACGGAGAAGAACGGCGGCGCAGCCGAUUGAACCAGCACCGUUACCUCGCCGGCCGGUCGAUAGGCAGCAGCUUGAUGCUGAGGGCGAAAUCCAUCCUCCUCGACCUUGAUGCCAUGGAUACCAGUGAGAUCGAGCAACCAGCUCCGCAGAUGGCUCAUGUACACAGGGCUUCCAAAUUGCGCUUGCUGGCGAUCUGCUCCGCCCCGAUCUCCGCCGCCUGCAACUCCGACCGUCCCGAUCUGCUCCGGCUGGACCCGCCCGGGCCGCCUACAACUCUGACCGCGCCGCUCGGGCUCGCCGCCGCUGGAACCCGCCCCGAUCCGCGCCGCGUGCUCGUCCUCCCUGCCGGCUCUGACCAAGUGCCUGCAGUUCCGAAGCGUACCACAUGAAAGAGGCCAGCGCAUGAUGGCUCUUCAUAAUUUUAUAAGGGACAGCGCCAUACAUGAUGCAGAUUUUGAUAACUAUGUUGAUGAUAGUGGCGGACAAGAGAGCACGGGUAUCACAGAUGAGUCAUUUCCGUGAUUCCAUUGCUGCGGCUCUGAUAGCAUGAUUGCCCAAUCAGUUGUUUUUUAUUAUUUUGGAGAUAAAAUUAUUGUAAAAGAUUAAAUUUUAGUUAAUCCUAUAAUGUUAAAAAGUUAAUACAUCACUGCAUUCUAUGCUAAUUCAGCUACCGAACAAGAUAUCAUCAACCUCAGGGGCAUAUAUGUCAUUACACAUUCACGCACACAAUCAAUCAGCAAAUAAUUAGGUCAGCCAAACUCUCAACUUAUUCUGCCAGUAUAUCCCUAGUAACUUGUUCGAAGAUAAUAUACUCCAACAGUUCGAACAAGGAUGAAUGCAAACUGCUAAAUGUUCGUUUAAUUUAUAACUUAAUUAGACUUGGACUAAAUUACACCUAACUUUUAAUAAGUGACAAAUCAUGUUUUGUCAAUAUUUUGCGAAUGCAUCAUGUAUAAGCUUAUCUCUCAAUCUAAGCAAUCCUUUCAUAGAUCCAAAUAAAUAUGUAUUUCAUGAAUCCAAGUAUUUUUUUUUGUAAAUUCAAAUGAUAUUUUCCUAGUUCAAGUAACAUUCUUGGUGAAAUAUUUUCGUAUUUUCAGUUUCCUAUGUGUUUUUAAGUUCCUCAAAAAGAAUACAAUUAAAGAUGUGGCCUUCCCUCCAAGCACAUAUAUGGAUAUAUGGAGCACUUUUUUCAACCUGCACUUUGAAAGCCAAAGCCAAGGAAGAUCAUAUCAACGACUCUCCUAAUUCAUUUUAGGAUAAGUAAAAGAAUUCACAUUCAAGACAGGAGUUCUGCGAUCAACAACAAAUCUGAACAAAAUACCUCGGUAAUCUCUAUAUCGAGGCUGCCCCUCUGUCUGUCUGUCUGUCUCUCUCUCUCUCUCUCUCUCUCUAAAUUCUUUUUGGAACUCUGUAAAUCUCAUACUGACCGGAACAUCCAAACAGUCAGUGGGAACCAACAACCAGCAUGCCAUCACCAUCUGAAUGCUUUCUGUUCUUUACAGCAGCAUAUAAUAUAACUUUCGGCCGCACCCAGCUUUUACAAACUUCAUCUAGUGACGGCCGAAUAAGUGUUAUA